rnacentral:rRNA from 1 species
UACGGAGGGUGCAAGCGUUAUCCGGAUUCACUGGGUUUAAAGGGUGCGUAGGCGGGUUGGUAAGUCCGUGGUAAAAUCUCCGAGCUUAACUCGGAAACUGCCGUGGAUACUAUCAAUCUUGAAUAUCGUGGAGGUAAGCGGAAUAUGUCAUGUAGCGGUGAAAUGCUUAGAUAUGACAUAGAACACCAAUUGCGUAGGCAGCUUACUACACGAUCAUUGACGCUGAGGCACGAAAGCGUGGGGAGCAAACAGG